AGAGUUUGAUCCUGGCUCAGAACGAACGCUGGCGGCGCGCCUAAUACAUGCAAGUCGAGCGAGAAGGUGUAGCAAUACACUUGUAAAGCGGCGAACGGGUGAGGAAUGCAUGGGUAACCUACCCUCGAGUGGGGAAUAACUAGCCGAAAGGUUAGCUAAUACCGCAUACGUUUCCGGGACUUCGGUUCCGGAAAGAAAGCAAUACCGUGGGUAUUGCGCUCAUGGAUGGGCUCAUGUCCUAUCAGCUUGUUGGUGAGGUAACGGCUCACCAAGGCUUCGACGGGUAGCUGGUCUGAGAGGACGAUCAGCCACACUGGCACUGCGACACGGGCCAGACUCCUACGGGAGGCAGCAGUAAGGAAUAUUGCGCAAUGGACGAAAGUCUGACGCAGCGACGCCGCGUGGGGGAUGAAGGUCUUCGGAUUGUAAACCUCUUUCAGUAUCGGCGAAGCUCCAGGAUUUUUCUUGGGGUGACGGUAGGUACAGAAGAAGCACCGGCCAACUACGUGCCAGCAGCCGCGGUAAUACGUAGGGUGCGAGCGUUGUCCGGAAUUACUGGGCGUAAAGAGCUCGUAGGUGGUUUGUCACGUUGUCCGUGAAAACUCACAGCUUAACUGUGGGCGUGCGGGCGAUACGGGCAGACUGGAGUACUGUAGGGGAGACUGGAAUUCCUGGUGUAGCGGUGGAAUGCGCAGAUAUCAGGAGGAACACCGGUGGCGAAGGCGGGUCUCUGGGCAGUAACUGACGCUGAGGAGCGAAAGCGUGGGGAGCGAACAGGAUUAGAUACCCCGGUAGUCCAA
rnacentral:rRNA from 1 species